rnacentral:ncRNA from 1 species
CGAUGCCGACCAGGGACCAGCGGAUGUUGCUUUUAGGACUCUGCUGGCACCUUAUGAGAAAUCAAAGUUUUUGGGUUCCCGGGGGAGUAUGGUCGCAAGGCUGAAACUUAACGGAAUUGACGGAAGGGCACCACCAGGAGUGGAGCCUGCGGCUUAAUUUGACUCAAUACGGGGAAACUUACCAGGUCCAGACAUAGUAAGGAUUGACAGACUGAGAACUCUUUCUUGAUUCUAUGGGUGGUGGUGCAUGGCCGUUCUUAGUUGGUGGAGCGAUUUGUCUGGUUAAUUUCGUUAACGAGCGAGUCCUCAGCCUGCUAACUAGCAAUGUGGAGGCAUCCCUUCACGGCCGGCUUCAUAGAGGGACUAUGGCCGUUUAGGCCAAGGAAGUUUGAGGCAAUAACAGGUCUGUGAUGCCCUUAGAUGUUCUGGGCCACACGCGCACUACACUGAUGUAUUCAACGAGUUCACACCUUGGCUGACAGGCCCGGGUAAUCUUUGAAAUUUCAUCGUGAUGGGGAUUGAUGAUUGCAAUUGUUGGUCUUCAACGAGGAAUUCCUAGUAAGCGCGAGUCAUCAGCUCGCGUUAACUACGUCCCUGCCCUUUGUACACACCGCCCGUCGCUCCUACCGAUUGAAUGAUCCGGUGAAGUGUUCGGAUCUCGGUGACGUGGGUGGUUCGCCGUCUGCGACGUCGCGAGAAGUCCACUAAACCUUAUCAUUUUUAGAGGAAGAGGAAGUCGUAACAAGGUUUCCGUAGGGGAACCUGCGGAAGGAUCAUUG